AACUGCAGUGCAAACAACAACACUGGCUACUACAUCAACUCUGUCAAUCAGUUAGUGCAGCAGUGGAGAAAGAGGCUGCAGGAGCUGAAGGCUUUAAAUGGCUCGGGAAAAGCAGCGAUGCAGAAUGGCGGUGGAGGAGGAGGAGGAAUGGGUGCUGCCACCCAGGAAACACAAACCUUAUCAGGCCAGCCAUGUUCCAACACACGGCAGGAGGAGGAGCAGGAGCAGGAGGAGGAGGAACAGGAGGAGGAAUGGGUGCUUCUAGCCAGACAAACACCAACCUUAUCCAGCCAGCCAUGUUCCAGCACACGGCAG